GUUCUCUGAGAAAUAGAAUAGUAUGCUGUUGGAAUGCUGUUGCUACAGUGAAAUUAUAGUCCUGCCUUGUUACUCAACAGCUUUGAAACUUGCUGAAUUUGGUACUAGGAUGCAUUCUGAUAUGAAAAUAUUGUACCAGUACUACAUAUACAAGCUACAACUUGUUGAUGUCACUUGCUUUAUGACUACUCUUUCCAGCCAAAACAAUUUGGAACUUGUUUUUGGUACUAGUUGCCUCCUGGAACAAAUUAAAGAUCACUACCAAGAUAUCACUGUAGUUGGGCAUGGUGGUGCAGGCCUGUAGCUCCACCUGAGGCAGGAGGGUUGCUAUGAGUUCAAGGCCAGCCUGCACUAUGAAGUGAGACCCUGUGUCAAAAAACCCAAGACCCUCCCCCAAACCAAACAAAAAUACCACUGUAGUUGUAAUUAAGUCCGUCUUGUGAUUUGCUAAUUUCACUCAUUUAAUUUUAGUUAAACCAUCUAAAUUUAGCAUUCCCUGUGAAAUUUGACUUAGAUUAUCUAAAUUCACAGUAUCUACUGUGUGUCAAGAAUUUUCACCGAUCUUAGAAACACAGGGAACAAAACAAAGUAUCCUUUUAGAGCUGAGAGCUAUAUAUCUGCUCAGAGCAGGAUAUUUACUACACAGGAAAACCAACUAAAGGUGAAAUGUAUUAAAAUAGAGUCACUUGGCCAUGAGGUCACAAACUUUGUGCCACACAAACACUACUAUACUGGGGCACAAUACAGGUAAUCAGGAUAACUCAAACCCUAUGGGAGAUUGGAAUCUAUAAAAUUUAAUGCCAAUAAAAUAUUGAAAUUAUUUUAACAUAAUAGAUUUUCUCAAUUUACUCAGUUCUUUGAAAAGUUAGUGAAUAAUUUUAUUAAAUUUUCUGAAAACAAGCUAAGAAAAGGUUAAGGAUGUAGCUCAUUUGCACAAAUCUUGCCUUGCACACAUGAGGUCCUAGCAUCGAGUCCCUGCAUUGCAAAAAACAAGAUGUAAUUUGAAAGAUGUCAUUUGCAGUCUGUUUUGGCAUAAUUGUGAGUAAUCAUAGCUUUCAUGAGGGAUAAGUGGGUACAUAAAUGUUUAUUCAUAAAGUAAAAUGUUACUGUCUAAGCCACUGACAAUAAUAAAAUCAUAUUUCAUCUCAAGAAUUGUGUAAUGAUGUUAUGCACUUGACACUCAUUUAAAUUUUGGCAUUGUCAGAUAUUUUCCAACUGGGUUUUCUUUGAAUUGAAGUGCAAGACCAGGGCCAGGUAUCUAUUCACAUUUUGUAUGGCCAUUUAAUUCAACUCCAGACUUGAAAGCUUUGUUCUCUCAGCAGGGCCUGUGAUGUUAGGACGUUCACUGAAUUUUGUUCAAUCAUGAAAUUUGUCCAUUCAGGAUUUAAUUUAAAAAUUAAUAAAACACUACCCA
ensembl:lncRNA